GAGCGAACGCUGGCGGCGUACUUAACACAUGCAAGUACGAACGAGGAGCUUCGGUGUAGCAAUACAUCGGAGCUUCUAGCGGCGUACGAGUGAGUAACACGUGGGCAACCUGCCCUUGAGUCCGGGAUACCCUCUCGAAAGGGAGGCUAAUACUGGAUACGUUCUUCGGAUCGCAAGGUCUGGAGAGGAAAGGUAGCGAAAGCUGCCGCUCUUGGAGGGGCUCGCGGCCUAUCAGCUAGUUGGUGAGGUCACGGCUCACCAAGGCUAUGACGGGUAGCUGGUCUGAGAGGACGACCAGCCACACGGGAACUGAGACACGGUCCCGACUCCUACGGGAGGCAGCAGUGGGGAAUUUUCCGCAAUGGGCGAAAGCCUGACGGAGUGACGCCGCGUGGGGGAGUGAAGGCCUUC
rnacentral:rRNA from 1 species